rnacentral:rRNA from 1 species
CGUGUAGGCGGAUUGGCAAGUCAGUGGUGAAAACCGGAGGCUUAACCUCCGGCCUGCCUUUGAAACUGCCAAUCUUGAGUACGGGAGAGGAAAGCGGAAUUCCAGGUGUAGCGGUGGCAUACGUAGAUAUCUGGAAGAACAUCGGUGGCGAAGGCGGCUUUCUGGACCGAUACUGACGCUGAGGCGCGAAAGCCAGGGGAGCAAACA